CUGGGUGGGGGGUGUUUGCCUC
rnacentral:miRNA from 1 species